GAUGAACGCUGGCUACAGGCUUAACACAUGCAAGUCGAGGGGAAACGACGGGGAAGCUUGCUUCCCCGGGCGUCGACCGGCGCACGGGUGAGUAACGCGUAUCCAACCUGCCUCUGACUGAGGGAUAACCCGUCGAAAGUCGGCCUAAUACCUCAUGGUAUCGUCUGCGGGCAUCCAACGACGAUUAAAGAUUUCAUCGGUCAGGGAUGGGGAUGCGUCUGAUUAGCUUGUUGGCGGGGUAACGGCCCACCAAGGCUACGAUCAGUAGGGGUUCUGAGAGGAAGGUCCCCCACAUUGGAACUGAGACACGGUCCAAACUCCUACGAGAGGCAGCAGUGAGGAAUAUUGGUCAAUGGGCGAGAGCCUGAACCAGCCAAGUAGCGUGCAGGAAGACGGCCCUAUGGGUUGUAAACUGCUUUUAUGCGGGGAUAAAGUGAGGGACGUGUCCCUCAUUGCAGGUACCGCAUGAAUAAGGACCGGCUAAUUCCGUG
rnacentral:rRNA from 1 species